GAGGAAUAUUGGACAAUGGAGGAAACUCUGAUCCAGCCAUGCCGCGUGAGUGAUGAAGGCCUUCGGGUUGUAAAGCUCUUUCGGGUGUGAAAAUGAUGAUGGUAACACCAGAAGAAGCCCCGGCUAACUCCGUGCCAGCAGCCGCGGUAAUACGGAGGGGGCGAGCGUUGUUCGGAAUCACUGGGCGUAAAGCGUGCGUAGGCGGUUAUACAAGUCAGGAGUGAAAUCCCAGGGCUCAACCUUGGAAUUGCUUUUGAGACUGUAUGACUAGAGAUCUAGAGAGGUUGGGGGAAUUCCGAGUGUAGAGGUGAAAUUCGCAGAUAUUCGGAGGAACACCAGUGGCGUAGGCGCCCAACUGGCUAGAUACUGACGCUGAGGCACGAAAGCGUGGGGAGCAAAC
rnacentral:rRNA from 1 species